rnacentral:rRNA from 1 species
UACGGAGAGUGCGAGCGUUGUCCGGAAUCACUGGGCGUAAAGGGCGCGUAGGCGGCCUGAUAAGUAGGGGGUGAAAUCUUGCGGCUUAACCGCAAGGCUGCCUUCUAAACUGUCAGGCUAGAGCACAGUAGAGGCAGGUGGAAUUCCCGGUGUAGCGGUGGAAUGCGUAGAGAUCGGGAAGAACAUCAGUGGCGAAGGCGGCCUGCUGGGCUGUUGCUGACGCUGAGGCGCGACAGCGUGGGGAGCAAACAGG